rnacentral:tRNA from 1 species
GUCAGCAUAGUUUAAUAAAAACAUUAGAUUGUGAUUCUAAAAACAGAGGUUAAAGCCCUCUUGCUAACC